UUCUUCUCUCUUUUAUGCUGUUAGGUAGGUGUGUGUGUGUGUGUGUGUGUGUGUGUGUGUGUGUGUGUGUGUGUGUGUGUGUGUGUGUGUGUGGAUUCUCCAGAAGGCCCCUCAUGAUGACAUGUCUGCCCCACGACACUUUGUUUAGGUUCGUCUUGACCCUGGCAGAGAUUACAUGUUCCAACAGACAGAUAGUUUGGGCUCCUGCAAGACAGCCUUGCUUACAAUCUCAUGGUCGUGGGGCAGCAGGAGCAGGCCAACCUAGACUAUUUGUAGCUUCUUACUAAAAGAUAAUUACUCUAUAUUUCUUAACCUAAAUGUAUGAAGACAUUCCCCUACA